UUCACCAAAAUUACAAAUGAAAACUGCUAUACAUCAUUUAACAAGAAAAUACCAUAUAAUUUUAAUGUUUAAAUGGAUCAUUUUUUUUUCUCUCAUUGUACAAGUAAUUUAAAUACAAUUAAUUUAACGGGACCAAAUUAUGAAAAUUGACCCCAGUUAAUUUUUGGCUCCCCAAACAAGUUGGCUUAGCUCCUAACAAGCUCAUCACUGCAAAAUUUGAGGAUCAUGUCAUUCAAUUAAUUUCAUGAUGCAGGAGCAUAUUCUUGUAUUG
rnacentral:misc_RNA from 1 species